UAAAUAUAGAUAUAGUGACUAGUAGACCUGCAAGGAAGAAAGUAGGUAAGUCAUAGAAAAGCCCUCCUGUAGCAGUACUUCACAAGUCACUACGGUGGCUGGGUGGAGGAGGAAGGCUAGCCCGGCUCACCUGCGUGCUCUUCCUUCAAACAAAGAAAAGCGGACAAAUCCAUCUUCUUCCAUCUACUCCCCGACACUCUCUCUCAUAUUUAAAGGCCGUAUUAGGCACAACUAAACCCAAGAAGCAGAGAAAGCAGCAAAG
rnacentral:misc_RNA from 1 species